GCCUCAGUAGCUCAGCCCGGACGGACUCGAAGAGUUCGGGGCGAUAGAGCAAUUGCCUUGUAAGCAGUAGGUCGGGGGUUCAAAUCCCCUCUGAGGCU
rnacentral:tRNA from 1 species